rnacentral:lncRNA from 1 species
CUUGGGGUGGUUCAUCCUGCGAUGCCGAACCAUGGUUCGACACCGCGGCCGCAGGCAACCACCCGGGCCAAUAGGUUUACCGGUCAUCGGUCACCUCCACAUGCUAGGAAAACUCCCUCACCGCAGCCUCUACAAGUUGUCACAAAAAUAUGGUCCCAUAAUGUCGAUCCGCCUCGGAUCUGUUCCCACAAUUAUAGUGUCGUCGCCCUCGGCUGCUGAGCUCUUUCUCAGGACUCACGACACGGUUUUCGCUAGCAGGCCUAAUGCCCAGGCCGCCGAGUACUUAUCCUAUGGCAGCAAAGGUUUGGCAUUCUCGAAAUAUGGUUCGUAUUGGCGUAGCGUGAGGAAGUUUUGCACAAUGGAGCUUCUUAGUGUCGCGAAAAUUGAUUCUAUGGCUAGGCUGAGAAGGGAGGAACUGGGCUUGCUGGUGCAGUCCCUGAAAGUGGCGGCCAGGACCGGUGAGGUUGUGGAUUUUAGCGAGAAGGUGGCGCGUCUGAUAGAAGACAUGACUUGCCGAAUGUUGUUUGGGAAGAGCAGAGAUGAUCGGUUUGACUUGAGUAAGAUCAUACAUGAGCUGGCAGAGGUUACUGGAGCCUUCAAUCUUGCGGACUAUGUCCCAUUUUUAGGGGCAUUUGAUCUCCAGGUAUCAAUUACUAGUAUAAAACUGCUCCCUCCGUCCACCAGAUUCUUUAUAUCAUCGAACGUAAUCUCGACAUGCAUUUUAGGGCUCUCAUUAAGCAUAUUUACAUAAUUUAUAUCCAAUUAUACUUAACGGAAGUCUUAAAAUGCGUGUGAAGCCCUCCGUCCGCCAGCGUAAAGAACCUAGCGGGUCGGAGGGAAUAUACUUGAGAUCUCAUUGUUACGGUGGGAGCUAUACUUGAGAUCUCAUUGUUACGGUGGGCUCUCGGGUUUAAAAUAGGAGAGAAACGGAGAGAAGUGAAAAGAAAAUUUAAUGAAUUAUUAAUCGAGAAAAGAAAAGAUAACUUCCACGGGUUUCUCUUUAAAAAUGGAUUGAUUUGGAGAAGAACUCUCACACUUGCUAAUAAAAUAUGGGCAUCACGUAAUUAGGCAAACAGAGUAUAUGAUUUGGGUCCGUCACGAACAAGAUAAAAUAUUAAAAUUGCAGGCAGAACCUGUUUCCUCUGCAGGUAACUCAAGGACCCUGAUCUUUAAUUUAAUUGUUUUCGUCAGGGAUUAACUCGACGCCUCAGAGUUGCUGCUAAGGCAUUUGAUAAAAUCUUAGAGACUAUCAUUGAUGAUCAUGAACAAAAAGCUGGAAAUGACGAUACAGAGCUUGAUAAGGAUUUUGUUGAUGUCAUGCUAGCUCUGAAGAACAAUCCUACAAGUACUCACCAGCAAUUAGCGCAGAUCAUCGAUAGAUCAAUUACCAAAGCCAUUAUCUUGGAUAUGAUUUUCGGAGCCAUUGAUACCUCCCACACCGCGAUAGAAUGGAUCAUGUCAGAACUCCUCCGACAUCCAAAAGUGAUGAAACGACUUCAAGAAGAAAUUAGUGUCAUAGUAGAUGGCGAACUUGUGGAAGAAUCACAUCUGGAUAAACUUGAGUACCUAGACAUGGUGGUCAAGGAAGCCUUGAGACUUCAUCCGGUGGGACCCCUGUUAGUUCCUCAUGAGUCGAUGGAGGACAUUGUGAUCGAUGGAUAUUACAUAGAGAAGAAUUCGCGUGUGAUCAUUAAUGGUUGGGGCAUUGGACGAGAUCCAAGGAUUUGGUCUGAAAAUGUGGAAGAAUUCAUUCCUGAGAGAUUUGCGGGUACUGACAUAGAUCUCCGGGGGAAAAGUUUUCAGCUUAUACCAUUUGGUUCAGGCCGGAGAGGCUGUCCAGGUAUACACUUGGGACUAAUAAACAUCAAAUUGGUGGUUGCUCAGUUAGUACACAGCUUCGAUUGGGAGCUACCUUUGGGGAUUUCACCGGACGAGUUAAAUAUGGAUGAAACAUUCGGUUUGUCAUUGCCAAGGGCAGAGCAUCUCCUGGCCAUACCCAAAUUUAGGAAAAGUUGAAUUCCACAUUCAUGGUGGUAUGUGUGAUUGUCCUGUGUAACUUUAAGCAGAAUGAGUAGCUACCCUCUUGUGAGGAGUUGUUUUGAUAAAUUGUUAUGUGCGGACUGCAGUGUUUUAUCAACUCCCUCCCUUCUUAAUUAUCAAUCGCAUCUGUUUUUAAUUUUAAAAUUUAAAAUAUCAAACUGAUCGAUAUUUGAUUAAAUAUUAAAAUUAUUUAUUUAUUAUAUUAAUAAAUUAAAAAAUAUAUAAAUAGAUUUUUUUUUUUUUUGAGCCAGAGUCGAACCCAGGACCUGGGCCAACAGAGGAUAAGCCCUUAACCACUUGGGCUAUCCAAUCGUGCUCAAAUAUAUAAAUAGAUUAGUUACAUGUUUUAGUGAAAAAAUUUGUUUAACUCUUCGAAUCAUAUAAUACACAUAAAUUUCAUCAAUUUAAAUAAUCAAAAAUCACUUAAAUAUUAUAAAUCUGUAUUUAGGGAGGGCCAGUAAAUAUCUAUAUAUAUUAAUUGGUUCUUUACACUUUGACAUUUCAAUUUCUGGUUCGCUUACAUUCCACUUAUGACAACAUUUUUGUAUUUUUCCACUACUGCAUAUUUUUCUUCCAAAGAAUUAUUGCAGUUCCUAGUUAAAACAAAAUUUAUGACAGGGCAAGAUCAAUCUUAUCCGUGUCAUGUUGACAACGUUAACUGUGGAUUUGUUUUUCAUAUUUUCAACUUUUCGUUCUUCUAGGUGUUAUGUGUCUACAUUUAAAUACCAGAUGAUUUUCAGCUCGAGUGUUUGAUGGGAGAUAUUUUUCUAUCAAUUUAAUUCCUGUAUUGUUGGCUGAUUUGAAUGAUAAAUGGAAUACUUUUUCCGUCAAAAAAAAAUGAAAGAUGAUAAUAGAACGAUCAUAGAUUACAUUUUCAAAGAUACUCCCUCCGUCCCCCUGAGUAGUAUACAUUGGGGGACGGGGAUGCGGCACGGACUUUAAUGCUCCUGUAAAGUGUAGUUGUGUAAUUUAUUUUUAAAAUUUUCUUUUUCUGAAUUAAAGUUUGGAUGCUAUAUUUUUAUUCAGAAAAAGAAAAUCUCAAAAAUAAGUUAUGGAACUAUGUUUUAUAAGAGCAUUGAAAUGCGUGUCGAGCAGUUGAAAAGAAACGUAUACAAUUAAAUGGGACAGAGGGAGUAGACAAACCGUAUAAAGUUGACUUGUUCGGAUAUGAUUAAUGUAAAUUGUUUAAUUAUAAUUUAGUAAAAUGAUUUAACAAUCAUUCAUGCAUGGGAAAUUUAUUUAAAAUAAUCCAAUCAAUAAAAUAGAUUUAAAAAAAUGGAGAUAAGUUAGAUAUAAAUAUAUGUCAUUUUGAUUUUGGAUCUGCAUUCUAAUUUCUUGCAUGAUUUAUGGACAUUAGUUUAUUUUAAUUUCCUAACAAAAAAUAUAAAUGUAAAGUCUGAAUAAUUUUUUUAGAUAUUCAUUUUAUUUUCAUUUUUUUCAUUCAAAAUUCAUUUUUUUUUUGAAAUAAAUCAUAUUAAUAAAAUUCAUUUUUUAUUAAAUCAUAUUAUAUAUAUAGAAAAUUACAUAACAUAUCAUCCUUUCCUUUAUUAAUAUAAUUGAUGAGUAGUUUAUCAGAGUAAUCGAUGAUAAAAUUUCUAUUGAUAAGAAAGUGGUCAAGAUUUAAAGUUGGGGAGCAACUGUGUUGAUGUCAUGCUAGCUCUAUGAAGAAUCAACAUAUAUCAUUUUUUGUAAAAAAUAAAUUAUUAAAUUAUAUUAAUUAAAAAUAUUAAUAAAAUUAUUAUUGUCAUAUAUUUUUGCAUCAUUGAUUGAGUUUUGUAUCAAACAUUAAUAUUUCAUUACUUAAAUAGAGACGGAAAAAAUAAAAAAUAAAUGUAUCUCAUACUUCCAUUUCAUACCCACCUCCCCACUUGGGUAUCAAAAACAACUCAUACCAUGGAGGUUUAAGGCUGGGUUUCAGAUUUUGUUUUUCUUUAGACAAACCUCAUACAUUCCAUAAAUCCAUGAACCAAACGACUCCUAAAUAGAAUGAAUAUGUAUUAGAUUUUUAAUUAAAAUAAUUAGAAUGAAAUAAUGGAAGUAACGAAAAUUUUAAACUAUUUUACUGAUCACUAGCAAUUUAUACCAGUAAAUUUAAGAUUAGCAGAGAGAGAGGCUAUAGCUCAAUAUAUAUAUACGCAUAUUGUGAUAAUGCAUUUGCAGGUGCAGCACCUUUCUUUGACAAGAAACAAGUAGCAACACUUUCACAGCUCUUCAACAUGUCUCCCACAGAUUUUGCAUUGCUUAUAGUAAGCGCCGGAUCCUUGUGGUGGUUCAUCCUGCAGUGCCGAACCAUGGUUCGCCAACACGGCCGCAGACAACCACCCGGGCCAAUAGGUCUACCGGUCAUCGGUCACCUCCACAUGCUAGGAAAACUCCCUCACCGCAGCCUCUACAAGUUGUCACAAAAAUACGGUCCCAUAAUGUCGAUCCGCCUCGGAUCUGUUCCCACAAUUAUAGUGUCGUCGCCUUCGGCUGCCGAGCUCUUUCUCAGGACUCACGACAC